AUAAUUCUAUUUCUUUCCAUAUUUUCCACCUAUCACAAAAAACAGUUUGUGCUCCCGCCAUUAUGAUAUUCUACAGCAUAUUCAACCUUAUUAAAGGUCUCAGAUUGUAAUUUCUGCUGCUCUGCGUUCAUCAAAUGAAUAUUACUACCACUUUGGUUUUUGACAUGCAUUCAGGAAAAUUUGUGCAAUAUGGAUGGGUUAAAACUUGUUAGUUAUGGUAGGGAUAUCAUACAACCAACCUAAUCAUGGUCAAAAAAAAGAGAAUAGCCAAUCAUGUUAAAGCUUUCUCAUUGGGCCUUGUAGAUGUUUCAUUUCCAUAUGUGAAAGAAAAAGAAUCUCAAUUGUGCUCCAUGGGAAUCUUCACAAUCAAUAUAAGAUUAAUGCAUUUUGAAGUUUGAACCACAUAGCUCAGUUUCUUCCCCCUUCUUGGUCCAUGCACCACAACCACUAGUUAUGCACAUUAGUCCAUGAUGCCACUGCUUAUCUUUCUUAUGAGUGAUGCCAAUCAAUCAUUUUGGACCUUUUUAAAUAUGUAUCCAUUUUUCUUGCAAAGUAGAUCCUCUUAGAACAUCCAUUAAUACAGUGCUUUAUGGUAAAUUGCUUCAAAUGCUUGCAUUCAACUGAGGUAUUUCCAUCUUUUGAUUACUAGAGAUCUUUUGAUAUUUUUCAAGUGUUGGCUGUAUUGAUGUUAGCACAAGACAUGCAUGUGUACCAUGGUAUCUUGCAUAGCAAGAGUAUUAACCAAUGUCAACCUAUAUUGACUUGUGAGGCGAAAGCCCAUUUCGACGUCUAAAAAGAGGGUUUGAGAACAAAUGUGUAGAUUUUCCCCAACGCAAUUCAAAAACGGAAAUUCCACGAAUCCCUAUUUGGCUUUGGUCAAUGUGUCUUGUUAUCACUUGCUACUGAGCCAAAAAAACCAAGGUCUGAUGUAUUGACCCAAAUUGCUCGGUUCGGGGCAAACCCAUCGAGUUCUGAGUGGCAACUGGGUCGAAAUGCAACUUUAGUUUGGAAACCUCAAAUUGGCUUAGACCGACUUGAAUCGAGCAAAACCAUCCUGUUUUGCUUGCUUUAAGUGGUUCGUUGUCUUUAUAACCCCCCGACCCAAUCCUGAGUUGCCUCGCCUCCUGAUCACUCUCUCCCUCCCUCUCGUGUUAGGUUAGGAUUAGGGCUUUGACGUGGCCAUCCUGCUAUCAUCGCUGCCACCUUUGACGACGACCAUAGGUAUACACUUCGCCCUUUCUCUUUCUCUCUCAGUCUCUCUCCUAAAGAUGACCACUCCGGUGGCUUUGCCCUCUCUUUCUUCCCCCCGCUCUUUCUCUCAGUCUCUCUCCCCACUUUGCCUCCUCUAUCUUUCUCCUCUCGCUCUUUCUCUCAAAGACGUUGAUAACCCCGGCAACUUCACUUCCCCUUCCUUUCUCUCCUCGCUCUCUCAAUCUCUCUCUCUCUCCUCUCUCUCUCUCUCUCACUCAGACAGACGACCUCGGUUUCUUCGCCCUGUCUCUUUGUUCCUCCCUUUCCCCUCUCCCUCUCCCUCUCCAUCAUCCUAGUUCUAAUUUGCCUUAGGUUGCUAUGGUAUGCAUUGGUACUAUACCAAAUCAGUCACCAGCUAGUAUGAUUGGAUAUUGAUAUGACGAACCUUGAAAAAAUCUUUAUAUUUAUUUACUUAUUGAGUUUCAAUGAAUCAUGAUAUUGCUUGUCACUAAAGAACACAACAUGGUGUGUGUUAUGCUGGCCAUUGUUUGGCAUGCUUCAUGCCAACAACGCUUAAAACUUUGGUACUUUCUACUACCGCUAGUAAAGUGUAUGUGCAAAUGCAUGUGUAGCUCAUCAUAGUUAAAAGGAAAAUUUGCAAGUAUGGUAGAGUUGAUAUUUGAAAAGAUUUUUGUUUAAUCUAUUGCUUUAAUGUAGAAUGAUUCAAUUAUAAUCCGUAGGGACUACUUAAAACCAGAAAGGUUAAAAUUAAAGCAAAGUAAGUCGAAUUGCGCUGAACCUGCCGGUUCAGGAUGUACAGAACUGGACCAAUUGGUUACCGGCAUGGUUCAACCGAUCCGAACAAGAUUUAUAAAUAACCCUCUAUCUAAGGCUCGGAGCUGCUGGAACUCUCCCGACACCUUAGUCGAAGUCCUUGGUUCCCAUCGACAAUGAUGAUGAUGAUAACGUCCUAACUAGAUGAGCUCUCUCUCUCUCUCUCUCUCGGGGUCCCCAUUGCCAGGAUCCAAAGUCGGUCAGAUGGACUCAAAGCUCUCGAAGCCCUUGCUUCCCCUCUCUCCCCCACUUCUGCAUCCUCCUCUAGCCUCGGUCAACUUGCAAAGCCGUCGUCAAAUGCCUCUCUCAGGUGAGUUCGAAGGUCUUGGCCUCUCUCUCAACCCUCUCUCUUUCUCUAUCUCUCCUUUCUCUCCCUCCCUCUAGUUUUGGUACACCACAUUUUGGUACGUAUGUAUGGGUACCGUACCGGUCGCCAGCCAGUGCGACUCGAUAUUGAUUUGGCGAAUCUUGGUUUAAACCUUUUCCUAAGCAAGAAACUAUUGAAGAUUUGGCAUUAAGUAAUAAAAAUAAAGCAUAGAGGGUGUGAGCCUUUAUGCAAAGUAAGGUUUUUCUAUUGUGACAUGGAGGUCAUGGGUUCGAAAUAUAGAAAAAAUUCUUUAGUAUGUAGGGGUAAGGCAGCAUACAUCUAACCCUUCCUAAAUCCUACAAUGACGGGAGCCUCGUGCACUAGUCGCCCUCUCUUUUUUUAUAAUAAAAAGAAGCAUGUGAAUGUAGGUGUUGCAAAGAUGGUAGAGUAAAAUGACUCAACCUGUCUAAGGAAUGAAUUUGGAUUUGUAAGUUAUAUUAUGUUACUAUGUCUAAUAAUUUUACAUAUGGAUGUUAAUGGUUGUGUUAGGCAUUGAUAGUUAUCAAAGAAAAAUUAUAAGUACAGUGCAAUUUCAGAUGAAGCAGAAACCUAGGCUUGCUAGCAUCAUAUCUUGGUGGGGCCAUUUCCAUUUGGAAGCUUGGGUUCAAACCACAAUUAGAUUGAAUAAUGCUAUGACAUACGAGACUAGACUGCUAAAACCCAUGGUAGCCUAGUUAAUAUAUGAAUUCAAAGAAAUUAUUGUAAUUCUGAAGUAAAACAAUUUAGAUGGGCUUUAAUCUAAUCAAAUUUCUCUUAGUUAUCUUGUCCAAUAAGGUACAUACAUGAAUGGGCUUGUCUAGCCAUCACCUUGAUUUAAUGGGCCAAGUAGCUAGAAUUGGUGGAUGCAUAUAGUCAUAGUAGCAUGUUUCUCUCACUCCUUUUUUAAUCACAUGGGAUAUCGAAACUACACAAAAGUUUGUAUACUCAAGAACCAUGAGAUAUAUUUUUAUGCAUUUAGGAGAUACUUUGUUUUCACUAUGUUUAAUUUUGAUGCAACUAAAUCUCAUCUUAUAAUUGUGAUAUUUACCAUGAAAGAUAUGAUGCUUUGUAUUUCUCAGAAUAUUUAUGAACUUUCUUCGUUUGUUUUUCACAGUUGUUUUGGGUUUUUUGUGCAAGAAUAAUUGCAUGCUGCCUCAAUUUAUGCUCUAAGAAGAAUGAAAUACUUAACAUAGUUUGAGAUUCUCCUUGCUAAUAGAAACUUACAGAUGUGGUUUGUUACUGCAUCUGUAGGCCACUUGGCACACAAUACGUCAACCCGCAAGGUGCAAGUCUAGGCAUAGUAGUUCACAACCUUUUACACUAGUGCUAGACCUACAAGCGAUUUGCACCACACCCUUAUUUGCUUAACCAGAGGCUAGGUUAAUGGGAUGUGGGGCAUCUUCUGAGAGGGGGAUGUAUGUGGCUUUUGCCUACAUGCAUGUCUGUCUAGAACUUUUCCAUGGAUUUGUAUGGUUUUUCCAAGCCCAACUGCUAAUAAAAGAGAAAUGUUCAUUACUUACAGCAUCAACCUCAACAUUCUAAUCAAAGGCAUAAUACUACUAAAGAAAAUUGUCAAGAAAUCAGGGCAGUCACUGAUGAUGUUAGAGAAGAGGAUUUAUGGCACCUUGAGCAAAAGCUAAGAUGUCAACCCAAACACAAGCAAACCAAAAGCUAGAAAGUCUUGCAAACUUCAUCUUUGAAGACAACAAAAUUCCUUUAUCAAAAAAAGAACACAAUCCACUUCCCAAUGGGAUCAAACAUGUCGUAACUUUGCAAAUAAAUCAUAGUAACCAGCUAUUUGUCUUGAAGCUCUUAUUCUUCAUUUGAAACCCACCAUGGCUUGGUACCAUUAACACCUUUUGUAUUGUGCCAUAGAGUAGAUGUUUAACAUGUCUGAGGCCUGAUGCUUCAUUUAGAUCAUGGCACUACUUGGAUCUAGUUCUUCUUCCUCAUAGACGAUCAACGAGCCUGGAGAAGAAGAGAAAGACUUUGUUCCAUGGAUCAAAAUAAUUGUAGGUGGCCCUACCCAUGGACUUACGAGAAAGAAUGUAGAGGUUGGGUACAUGGAUUGUAUCCAUUGUAGAGGGCAAAGAUUGAUGCAUCAAUGGGCUGACUAAACUAAAGGCUGGAGGCAAUUAUGGAUAGGGGAUAUGAUGGAAAGAGAGAAGGAGAGGAAAUUGGCCAAGUAUUAGGCUACAAGUAUGACGGGGAGGCAAGCAUGGGCGAAGUUAGGGAGAUAUUGUCCCAAUUUUGGUCCAUUAAACAGUCAAGGGCAUGGAUUGCCAUAUCGUCUCGAACUGCCAACUCUUCUGUAUCGAGUUGUAUCGAGGUGUAUCGAGGUGCGUACAAAUCUGUACCAAGGUAUACUGAGAUAAAAAGGUGAGAAAAAUGGUUCGAUGGCCAUUUUGAUAGGGUGUAUAUCCUAUCAUACCAAUCCGUACCAAACAAAUAAUGUAUUGGUAUAGCACCUAGUAUCGAGAUUCCGAACUUUGGUCAAAAAUUUUGUACAGUUGUAAAAUGCAAUGUACAGUGGACUUUGAUUUGUGUUCAAUAGAUGAUUGCUUUAACAUGGACUAUCCAGCAACUUUGCUUGCAUCUUAUCUUUGCUUAGCACUGGAGUGACGCACGUCUAGUGGACUUCAAUUCAUGUUUGCUAGAUGACUGCUUUAAUAUGGGUCUGAUAGCUUGCUUCAUAUUUUUGCUUGCUCAUGGUGUGAAUAAACAGCUUCUUCAGAAGUGGCUAUAAUUUUUCUAUUGAUGUGGGACGAUGAAGGAAAGAAUCAUAAGUUGCAUGGAGAAAAGAUCUGUGUGGAGCCAAGAGAAGAAAGGAACCGAGUAACACACCAAUGUGGACUGAUGGAGCUUAUUUCAGUUGGAAGUUUGACCCAAGAGAACAAAUGGACUCAGAGAUUUUGGGUCUGAGUUAUUUUAUGUAUGGGAACUGAUGUAAAGAAUGAAGACAUGCAGGCAAUCAUCUACCAAAAAGCCACAAUGGUCUCAGCAAGACCAAGGUCAUGCAGGCUUUUUCCCAGAAUUCACACUUUCAUGUUUUGGUAAAAUAUAGUGUAUUGUUUCAUUAUACAUGAUUAGUUAAACUUCUUACAUCUCUUUGAAAUAGCUUCUCGCAAUUAGCCCCCAAAAAAUUGUCAUUACAUAGUGGAUCAGUACAAAUAUAUCUUCUCUGUGAGAUUAUGAUGGAAUAUGGGCAUAAAUCUGCAAACCACAUUUACAAUACCAAGUUUAGUUCAAUUGUCAGAUGGGUAUGAGGUGCAUUUUGCUCCAACAUGCAUUCUACAUACAUGACGCAUCAUAGCAUUGAAUACUAACAACUGAUGCUGACUCUAUUUUUUCUGUGCAAAUCCCUUGACUUGAGAUGUAACUGAGUGUUAAAUAUUGUGAAUUUGAAAGGUAGCUUUAAUUUGCUUAGCCAUGCAACUAUUGAGUAGGUUGAUCCAUUAUCUCUUCAUGUGAGGUUUCAGUUCACCGGUUUCCAAUUAUUAUAGACUGGCUCACAAGUUUUUCCUGUAUAAUUGGAUGGCAGUCAUCAUUAAACAUGGAGAGGAAAUAUGAUAGUUUUCUUAUGUUCCAAAGGAAAUAUGUUUAUAGUUGCUUUUGUAGGUUGGAACGUAGAUAUGGAAGCUAUCACUGAGGUAAUAGGGUAACUGGGGGCUUAAUGAUGUGCCAUAUCAAUUUGUUGAGGCGCAUUGAAAGUGGCAUUGUUUUGAAGUGGAGCUUAGAUUAUACAUGUAUUGGGUGAGAAUCAAAAUAUACAUGGCAGUUGAUCUAUGACAGUGGGUUGAUGCAAUUAUUCUGUUCUUGCAAGCUUGUCAUAACACCCAAGGGUUACAUAUGCAAUGGCCAUUAUGGAGACAAGAAGAAAUAUCCUGGAGCUAUAGCUUUAGAUGCAUUCUAAGGGAUCCAAAGUUUGGAAGCUGUUUAUUUCGGAUAUUUGUUUUCUCCUAGAAGGCUGGAGAAUACUGUUGAUGGCAGUGGGAAGGAUUGAAUGUGGACAGGUCCAUUUUAUUACCCACAUCUUUGUCUGGUUUAUGUAUACAUUCAAUUUUUGCUGCUGCAAGAUCCAAAAGAAAGAUGUGGUUUGUGAGAAUCUGAGAAGAGUCUUCAAUUUGGAUUUGGCAGCAGCAAUAUUCUUGUCGUUUUGUUGUGGCUUAUUUGAAUUUGUAGAGACAGUACUCUUUUCUUGUAUUACUUGCGUGCAUAUAAGCCUUUAAUAUUCUCUUUAAAAGGGCUUGGCUUGAACUUGCUCCAUCUAGAGCUGUGUGUUGUGGAAAGGAUAGCCACCUAAUCCACAAUUUAACUGCAAAACUGUAGCUUUUGGAAAUGACUUCUUUUACUUAACGAUGGGACUUGAGGUGGAAAAAGAGAUCCAGAGCCUAUAACGUUAUAGAAUAUGUGAGAAAAGCAUUGGUAUUAUUCUGUUCUAUUCUGGAAUUUCUUUCCUUACCCGAUAUUUGAUAAGGUUUAUAUGCUUAACCGUCUUUAUAACACAGUUAACAAUGAAUGGGUGAUAAGUUGGAGAGUUGUGGGAGGUCAAGUCUAUUCUUUGUAUAGUCUCAUUGGUCCUUUUUUUUGUCUUGCUUCUUAGUAUUUCUUACCAUCCUUGCUUCGGAUGCAUGCACAUAUUUUUCAAGAAGAAUCUCGAUACCAUUGUGAGAGCUGUUGGCAUCAUGUAUCAACCCAUGUAUGGGCUUAACCACACUGCUGAACUCUAGUUAAUUUGUUAUAAUUUUUUAAAUUAUAUGGUCCCUUUUUUUAUCUUUAGAUAUGUAGCAUAAGAUUUAUCGCCGACACUUUCCAUUUGUUUGCCCUGCGAUGAUUUUGUGGAAUUAAUUACAUCCAGUUAAUGUUCUAGCUUUUUCUAGGGGAUGAGGUAGGAAAUUUAUUGAGGUGUCGCUUCAUGUGCCAUACUUUUAAUUUUGUAUUUAUUAUUGAUAUCGUUUAGAAUAUCUGCUUGCAAUGUGAAUCUUCAAGUGAGCGUAUUUCAGGGCCAUGGUUUCAAAAAGACAGGAGUUAAUUUCUUUAUUUACAUCUCCAUAUGCUUGUAGAGUAGGUAUGGUUUCUGUAGUUGGAGCACCUAACAACAAAGUAUCUACUUUAUCAUAUUUUGCUUAUGUAUAGCAAAUAACUAGUUGACAAUAUGCUGAGAAAUGUAGCUUUAGUUUUUCACUUGAGUUUAUUCCUUGCUGCUCAACUAAUAAAGUGAGGAGCAUCUUCUUAUAUAUGAUGGCAUUUUGACAUUUCUUUUUAACCCCACAUUCUGGGUAAGUAUGGAAUUCCUUGUUGCGAUGCAUCUUUUACUUACAGGUUUUGUUUAUCAUUUUUUUGUUUAAGUGAUCAUCAACCCUUGCAUUUGUCUCCUUCCAGAGGUGAAGAACCCGAGUUUUGUGACCAUUUUUUCUGAGUAAUAAAAUCAGUGGUGGUGGAGACAUGUUUUCACCUUUCAUUUUGGAGGAAAAGUCAUCUUGAGAUUGUGUUUCACAAACUUCAAAGGAACUUUUUAAUGUAAAGAACUCUACACUGAAAUGUAGAAAUCCCAAACAUGCCAUUUGCAAAACUGUUAGAUGCAGAUCGAUAUGGACUAUUCUCAAAUCUUGAUCAUAAUAACAGUUAAAAGGAUGCUUUCUUGCCCAUCAGCAUUAUCUUACUUAGGAUUAAAUUGAAAUUCACAUCUUGUGUUGUGGGAUUUCAAAUUGACAGUGCUAAACUUUGGGCUUUGCCAUUGCAAUCUCUUGCUUGAGUCAGUCUAUUCUUCAAUUUUUUGGAUUUAAUUAUGUCUUGCAUUAUGUCAAUGAUUUGUAUUAUGGAUCAUGCUGCUUUCCUAUGCUUUUUUGUUAUAAAAAAAAAUUGAUGAUGGCACAUUUCUGUCAUCUUUUUUCUUUAUGGGCAUAACCAUAUGCAUGGUUAUUCAUCAGACGGGAUUAUUCCACGAUAAUUUUACUGACAAAGCUCCAUACUUCUAUCUAGUUUUAAUUUAUAAAUGACAGCCAUGCUUGGAUUCAAACCUUGACAAACUUUUUCUCUCCUGGCCUGUUGUCUUUGGAUUGUUCAAAUAUAUAGAUUGUCAAUUUGAAAAUGCAGUUCUUAAUGGAGAAGUUUCAUGCAACUGCUAGGUGACUAAUGGUGGAUUCAUGGUAGCGUUUGCCGGUAGGAAGUAUGCAGCACGAUCCCUUCCAACAUUUGUCAGUAACAGUUCAUACACUGUUACCAGUUUUACCCUGGUAUUCUAGUAACAUAAGAUCCUGGAAAUAAAGAAAUUUAAGCCAGAAAAUUCUGUUGUAUAUUCAUUUGUCUACUUGAAUGCUUACGUAGGUACUUGAGUUCCAAAAGGGUACACUUCAGAACUUGUAUUGGAAGAGAGAUGGUUGUGCUUCAUGUUCAGGAAAGUCAGACUUCGUUUGUCUGAACAAACAAGAAUGUGCAAUUAAAACAUCCAAUUGCAAGAGCGCGAACCAGGGUGGCUCAGUUGAUUGCAGCAUUGGAAUACAAUUGGCCUUCUCAGGAACAGAUAAGCAUUAUGCUGUCCUCAAUUCAUGGUAUGAGGUUUCCAACCUCCAGCAGUACUCCCUUUAUGGACUGUAUUCCAACCUUAGAGAUUCUCUCACCGGCCAGUACAACAAAAUCUUCUAGCUUGUUGGAUUGGGUAAACUCCUUGCUGGAACUGCUGCUGUAAUUUUCUUUGAUCAUGUCUCCCAUACAUUUUCUUCUGUAUUGGAAGUUGCUGUGAAAUUGCUUGAUGCUUGAAGUCAAGGCUGUCUACUCCUGUAAUCCACAUGUAUUUGCUGGUGCUUGACCAUAUUCAUUUGUUUGCCAUUGUAAAUUUCAUCUCUCAUUUUCUGUUUCUUUUUGGAGUCCGAACAUCUGGAUUGUUUAUUCAUUUGCUUCUGGUGGUGGUUGUUGCCCUUGAGCGUCAUUGUUGUUGGUGAGUCAUAUUAUACGAUUAUUGCUUGACCAAGUUGAUCUUGGAUGCUUAAUGUUCCAAUCAUACAGCAAAGACUACAAUGCUUCUUAAAUUUAACUGAGCAGAAAUGUCGCUACUGUGUUCAGUGCUUGUCCUGAAGCAAUGACAUAAUCUAUCAUUUUUGCGUGCUGGGUACCCCUGUUAGACUCAUUCAAAAGUCAGCUGGUCAUGUAUUCUAUAAUUUCAUCAGGUCAACUGAAUUAGGUUUUUGAUGUAGGAGCUAAGAUUCUAGUUCAACAUUUUUAUAUUAAACCGAUGUAAAUCUAUGAAUCAUUCUUACUGGAACAUUUUCUAUCCUUGUAACCUUGUUAUUUCAUUAGGUUGCUUCCACUAAAGAGACUUGGGAUUGGUUCUGGUGGUAUCAACUUUGUUUCAUUUGCCCUUACGGUAACUCCAACCUUAAUUACCGUACAUAGGGAACUAACAUCAGCGAUACCUAGAUGAACCGCUUUGAGGCAUCCUAGGGUUAUUCUUUGUAGAUUGUUUUGUUCUCUCUAUUGUGCAACUAUAUUCUGUACAUUAUUAAUCUUUUGUUUGGUACAAAGGAGUAAUCGGAUGAAGGAUAGAUAGGAGAAGAAUGAUGGGUAUUCCAUCCAUCCUUCGUGUGUUUGGUAAAACGUAGAAGAAUGGAUGGGAAUGAUUCUUUUCCAUGUUUGAUAUAAAAGAAAUGAAAGGAAGGAUGGAUGAUAUUUAUAUGAUAACUUUACUGAACUAACUUUUGAUUAAAAAAAAGUAUUAUUAUUAUCAAUUUAUAACACUUAUUUAUACUUAAGAAGUAGGACAAUAUAUAAACUUAUAAUCUUUAUAAUUUAUAAUAUAUAAAAAUUAUAUAAAUAUUUAUUUUGAAUUAAAUUUGAUUAAAUAAAUAAAUUUAUAAAUUAAUUAUAUAUGCAUUAAUUUAUUCAUAUAUUAAUUAUAUAAAUAACUAAUUAAUUUAUAAUUUAAUUUAAAUAUUUAAUUAAUUUUAUAUAGACAGCUAGCUAAAAAGAGUGCAUAUAAAUAGAAAAAUAGAAGACAAUUUAAUUAUUUACUUAUAAUUAUGGAAAUAAUGUACUAAAAUUAAUAUAGUUAGUAACGAAAUUACGAAAUUUCAUACUAUAGGGUUAAUAGUAUAGGUAAAAUAAAAAUAUAUAUAAAUAAAAUGAAUGAAAAACUGAAAAAGUGUUAGGAUUUUAUCAAAAAAUUAGUGAAGGAUAAUUUUGUCAUCAUAGAAAUCCACUUCGAUUGGUGGGUCAGGAUGGAUGGGUAAUCCCUCAUUUUCAUCUAUCUUUUCUAAAACUUUUUGAACCAAAUGAUGGAUGGAGGUCAUCCAUCUUUUCAAUCCCAUCUAUCUCUUUCUUAUGACCCCAACCAAACACAA
rnacentral:lncRNA from 1 species